rnacentral:lncRNA from 1 species
CCAGAAUCAACUUAGAUUGAUGAGUAAUUCCUUCAAUUUCAUCUACCCACAAAUGAGAGAUAUGUGUAGAUUUGCACGUUAUUGAUUUUUUGUUUCAUUGGAAUUGAAACGACAAAAAACUGGACUGCAAUAUUGAGAUCAUAUAUUAAAUAAAAAGUUUUAUAGGUACGUGUGAGUACCUUACACCUAAUUUAUAUAUAAAAUGUUAUUUUGUGAGAUGAUUGGAUAUUGUAAGAAAAGAGCAUCAGUACUUACCAUGAUUAUGGCUUUGAUGUUGUCUUUAGUAAGGCUGAUGGCUUUUUGUAAAUCAUCUGAUUCAUCUACUUUCCUUGCUUCUUCACUAUAAAAGGCUAGCAUGUCAUCGACCAUAUCGGUUUCAGCAUCUUCAGAGAAGUUAUUCUGUUUUCUUUUUUGGAUAUGAUCAUCGAUGAUAGAGUCGAUGAAUUUAUCAAGAGCCUUGCGAGCCUUGACAAGUCUAGCGCUGAGCCCUUGUGGGUCAAUCCAGCCUAGCCAGGGAAUGAAAUCAGACAUGUUGAAUGCUCCAAAAAGCUUAGAGAACUCCUGCAAAAUCUUGAUGAACUCAUC